CUUCGCUUGCGCGAUGGCUCCAUUGUUAUCACAAUACAAAGGUAUGGGAUCAACAAUGCUAGGAACGACUCCAAGUUCAUUAAUGAACUUCUUGAUCCACACAGCUUCCUUUGCUGCUUCAGAAGCAGCUAUGUACUCGGCUUCUGUUGUUGAAUCAGCGGUUGUCUCCUGUUUGGAACUUUUCCAACUAACCGCUCCAUUGUUGAGAGUAAACAUAUAUCCUGACUGAGACUUGCUAUCAUCUUUGUCAGUUUGAAAACUAGCAUCAGUAUACCCAUGAAUUUUCAGUUCAUUUCCUCCAUAGAUCAAGAACACAUCUUUAGUCCUUCUCAAGUACUUAAGAAUGUUCUUAACCGCUAUCCAGUGUUUCUCACCAGGGUUUGCUUGAAACCUGCUCGUAACACUUAGAGCAUAUGAAACAUCUGGUCUUGUACAUAGCAUCGCAUACAUGAUAGAUCCUAUCGCCGAAGCAUAAGGAAUCUUAUCCAUGCGACUCCUUUCAUCAUGUGUUUUAGGACACAUAUCUUUUGAGAGGUAAAUCCCAUGCGACAUGGGACAUAAUCCUCUUUUAGACUCUUCCAUAUUAAAUCUUCUCAAGAUUUUAUCUAUGUACGAAGAUUGGGAUAAGCCUAGUAAUCUUUUA
rnacentral:lncRNA from 1 species